UACGUAGGGAGCGAGCGUUGUCCGGAUUCAUUGGGCGUAAAGAGCUCGUAGGCGGCUUGAUAAGUCGGAUGUGAAACCUCCAGGCUCAACCUGGAGUCGCCAUCCGAUACUGUCAUGGCUAGAGUCCGGUAGGGGCCCACGGAAUUCCUGGUGUAGCAGUGAAAUGCGUAGAUAUCAGGAGGAACACCGAUGGCGAAGGCAGGUCUCUGGGCUGACACUGACGCUCAUGCACGAAAGCGUGGGGAGCAAACAGG
rnacentral:rRNA from 1 species